rnacentral:rRNA from 1 species
UACGGGGGGGGCAAGCGUUGUUCGGAAUUACUGGGCGUAAAGGGCUCGUAGGCGGCCAACUAAGUCGGACGUGAAAUCCCUCGGCUCAACCGAGGAACUGCCUUGGAAACUGUCUGGCUUGAGGCCGGGAGAGGGUAGUGGAAUUCCCAGUGUAGCGGUGAAAUGCGUAGAUACUGGGAGGAACACCGGUGGCGAAGGCGGCUACCUGGACCGGUUCUGACGCUGAGGCGCGAAAGCGUGGGUAGCAAACAGG